CCAUGAAGCUGGAAUUGCUAGUAAUGGCAGGUCAGCAUACUGCCGUGAAUACGUUCCCGGGCCUUGUACACACCGCCCGUCACACCAUGAGAGUUGGAAAUACCCGAAGCCUGUGAGCUAACUUAUAGAGGCAGCAGUCGAAGGUAGAAUCAAUGAUUGGGGUGAAGUCGUAACAAGGUAUC
rnacentral:rRNA from 1 species